CCCAGCACACCUGGUGGUUAUGUUCGCGCCCGGGUUUUGGACCCUAAAAUCCGGGUGUGACAACUUGGGACUUCGAAAACUUAUAGAUAGUUAUGGAACCUGAGAGUCAUGGGGCUUCACUUUCUAUCCGUGUUUUUACUGAACACAGUUGGACAUACUUGGUAUCUGUUUUUUUCUGCUUAACAUCAUAUGUAUGAUCAACAAUUAUAGAAGGUAACAUUUCUGUUCAACACACUUCUGGAAUAAGAAUUUGUUAUUUUCUAGAAUUUUCAGUGAGCUUUAUAUAUGGUAGGUUAUCAAGAGCGAAACAAACUCAUAAGUUAAUUGUGCCAUUUACAUAAACUGUAGGCUCGAGACGUCCUUUCAACUUUUAUUCUUUGCUGCUCUUGUUUGUUUAUCUUGAAUGUAUGGUCAAUAGGAAUACAAAUGUUUAUUUGUAGUAUGCUUAAUAUACUUUUGGUAGGCAGUUCUUUCGACUUUCAAAUUUCCCCAAUGCGCAUGCACCAGAUAUUCCCCAAUGCGGGAGGUUUUGGCUUUAUGGAGACUUCAUGUUCAUCUCUUUUGUCAACUGCACCUGAGGAUCAACCCGCACUUAGUAUAUAUGGUCCCAUGCAGUCAGACAUUAGGUAUGCACACACUCUCUAAUGUCUGACUAGGUACGUGCCCAUGCACGGACAACUCACAAUUUGUAGCGUUAGGUACGUGCACACUCUCUAAUGUCUGGCAACAACAAUUAAUUUUAGUAGUGUGCAUCUUUGUAGUACGUGCACACUCUCUAAUGCCAGAUCUAGGAGUUCGACGCCUCCGCAAGAAAAACGACGACGUCGCCUGCGACACUGCACAACGGCUCAGUCGAGGCACCCAAUGCCCACCGGCACCAGUGAGAUGAGGCUUCAAAUUUGGGUUAGCUCCGCCACUGCCCGGGUGCGACUACGAGCACUGGCUCAUCGUGAUGGACAAGCUCGGUGGGAGGGCGCCACCAAGUAACAUAUGAUCGACUACUACAUCCAGACCCUCGCCAAGGUCCUUGGAAGGUACGUACAGCUUGUCCACCUCUGACCUUUUGAUGAACCAAUCGCCACCUGCCGUAGCAUUAGUAAAUGUUGUAUGUUCAUUCCCUGUGUAUGAUGUGUGGUGAUCCACUUACAAAACUGGAAAGAUUAUACAUGGUACUAGGUAAUGGAUUCUUUAAUGCAAAACCACUCAGCGGUAUUGCACUUUGCCAACUGUGCACUAUGCUAAUUGUGCCAACUAUGCACCUAUUUUACGGUAUUGCACUUUGAAAUCCAGCAUCUAUACUCAAAAUGCUUAAAAGCCAACAUAUUUUUUAAACAAUCAGCUAUUUAGUACAGUUGUUAUAGGUUACAUGCUUAAAAGCCAACAUAUUUUUUCCAACUUUUCUUCUUCAUUUUCUUAGAGGAGAGCUUCAUGUUCAUGGUAACCUGAAAUUCACUUGUAAAUAAAUAAAUAGGUGUGAUAUUUUCUCAUUAUUUUUCCAGUUGUAAAAUGAUGAAUAUUGGACUGCCAAGUUUUUUGUUGUUUGUUCUUAUGAGUUUAUAGUCUGUCGGGUAACGCAUACUUGAUAUUUUUGUUGUUUUGUCUCCAUGAGUUUAUAGUUUGCUAGAAUUUUUGUUGAUAUUUCUUGUGGUAAAUGCUGCCCAUUGAUUCAAUACACCUUGGCUUUCCCUGCCAUGUUACAUGAAAAUAAAUUAAA